GACGAACGCUGGCGGCGUGCUUAACACAUGCAAGUCGAACGGAAAGGCCCUGCUUUUGUGGGGUUCUCGAGUGGCGAACGGGUGUGUAACACGUGAGUGACCGGCCCUUGACUUUGGGAUAACUUCAAGAAGCUGGGGCUAAUACCGGAUAGGAGCUCCUGCUGCAUGGUGGUGGUUGGAGAGUGUGGGCGGUUGGGGAUGGACUCGAGGCUUAUCAGCUGGUUGGGGGGGUAGUGGCUUACCAAGGCUUUGACGGGUAGCCGGCAUGAGAGGGUGACCGGCCACAUUGGGACUGAGAUACGGACCAGACUCCUACGGGACGCAGCAGUGGGGAAUAUUGUACAAUGGGCGGAAGUCUGAUGCAGAAACGCCGCGUGCGGGAUGCCGGCCUUCGGGUUGUAAAACGCUUUCGCAUGUGCCGAAGAGUGAGUGACGGUAAUGGGUAAAGAAGCACCGGCUAACUACGUG
rnacentral:rRNA from 1 species